rnacentral:misc_RNA from 1 species
GUCGAAACUAUUACUAUAAAGGACACCGUUUCACAUAAUCUGACGUGGCAACAUUACAGUGUAACUGGUACAGAAGUGAUGCGACUAUCCCGUGAUCUAAUUUGUUGACUUCAUCUUAAAAAUAGGAAUAACAGACUUAUACAAAAUAUCGACGGAAUAAGAAACAAUGUUUAGCGUCUUGCAUUUGAAGCACACCAAUAUUUUAAGAAAGAAAUAACCAUUCAGAAAACAGUUUUUGUAAUUCUCCAUAACAUUUAAAAUUACAUCAUUAUCAUUAAAUGUAAAUACAAUACUAUGAUAGCUUUAAAACAAUUUACACUUAAUUAAGAUAUUCUUUAAUAGCUAUGUCUAACUCGCUUAAAAAACUUACGAUUACAGUUAGAAUUGGUGACAUACAUAUUAAUUUUACAUUAACUAUGUACAUUAAAUCCGGUUUUAGCUAGAUUAAAAUGAUAUUACCGUCGCGGUCAAAAUGUGAAAUUAUAGAUUUAGACAAAAUUAUUAAUUUCGUAACAAUAAAUGUAUUAAAUAUUGUAUUUAUUUUCGGAAAAUGUAGAAAUAAUGAAUCUAUGAUAUAUCGUUUGAAAUAACCACCAUUACGAAAGUAAAUAUAUAUUGAAAACCGGAUCAAGUAAGACAUCCUCGUGAAAUAUUACUCUAAAAAUAAUUUAAAAUGAAGCGAGACAUAUAUUGGUUAAUCGUCAUUUGGGGAUUUUGAAAAUAUUUUUAAGGUUUUAAUGAAGAACACAGCAUUUUGAGAGAAUUAUCCUAAAUACAUUACUUACCCUUUAUAUUCAUAAAAAUCUUGACCUAAAAUGGUUUUAAGACACCAGUUUGUAAAAUAUUUUUACUAUUGCCAUAUUACAAAAACUUUUUUAGAAUUCCUUCUGUAUAUAAGACAUUAUUGGUAUAUGAUAUUAAUGAGCAAUUAUUAGAGAUCAAAAUAUGGAAAAAAAUCUAAAACAAAACUUAUACUCAAUAUUUACUUAUAUACAAUUUACUCUGUUAUAAUUCCAUCUGCUAUUAUAUUAUUUAUAUAUAAGGAACCAAUAUAUUGAUUAUUCUUUAUUUUUUAUAGUAUUAAAAGUAAGGUUUUCUAGUCGACUAAAAAAUAACAAUUUCAAAGCAGAUCUUUUUAAUUUGUUUAUAUUUCAUAUAUUUUGAGAAAGUAUGACAAUCGAUUAUAUAGACGACAUAUAAAUGUAUAGUUGGCCUUGAACAUUACCUACAUAAAAGUGUAGUAAAUCGCUACUUCGUACUCAAUACGUGUUUGUAUAGUUUUUUGACCACUACCGUUUUCUUAUUGUCAGGCAAAUACUAUAUUGAAAAUUUUUAAUGAAACAAAUUCUUCAUCUAAAAGUAAAAAUCAAUCCAUUAAAAUUAAAUAUAAAAUACAGCAAUUACUUUACUAAGCAGCGUUCAAACUGACGAUAAAUUAUAAACUUUGUAACUAUUGCGUACAAUAUUAAAUUUAUUUUGUUUUUUCCGUGGAAAAAUUAAGUUAAUUAUAAAAGUUUCAUAUUACACAGACUAAUAACGAUAUAUUUACAAUAUUAAUCUUAAAAUAACUUUAUUGCAAUUUAGUUAUCAUUUAAAAAUAUUACGAUAUUUAUCAAAUAGUUAGCCUAUUAAGGACAUAUGGUCGUAAAUUUUUAAAUGUAUCGCUUAUAUAUAAAAUCAUUUAAACAUAGCCUCUAAAAUUAAAUGACUUACAAAUCGCACAAACAUAUCAAAAUCACUAUAUACAAUAAAAUAUUAUCUCACUUAAAAAAUAUGUAAUAGAAUAUGUGAUCGACUGCACUUUAUAGAAACUUCACCAAAUUAUUUUCAUAAUCGAGGCUGAUAUAUGUAUGUAUAUAAAGGUCACAGGUUGGCGGUACCAUUUGUGAGAAAUAUUUAUAUACAUAAUACAGAUUUUUGGACAAAUAAUAACAAUCGCCUAGAGUAUUCCGGGCGUUUGUGGUCGUGUAUUUAUUUGCCUUACUAGUAUGGCUAAGAAAAGUGAGAAAUUUUAACGUUCUUCAUCAUAUUACAUGAACCAAUUCAAGUUAAUAAAAAUAAAAAUUGGUAAAGCCACAAACAAGGCACUCGAGUAAAUAUAAAACUUAUAAAAAUAACAGUCGAUCACAGACACAAGUAUCGAUAAUACGCUAAAUUAUAAAACAACAACAACACUUUAAAAUCUAAAACUAUGUACACAUGUUUAGUGGAAACACAUACAGCUAUAGUAAUAACGAAUGCCUUCUAUGUAUAUGCUUACACAUCGCACAUCGCUUACAUUCAGAGGUCAAAUGAAUUCGAUAUUAGUCAAUUUGCUGUUUGUAUUCCUAUUAUAUACUUAAAUUAAUUACAAGAAAAGCAAAACUUCAAAAAUAUGAAAACAUUUCUAGUAAUUUUUGACUAGGAUUUUUUUUUUCGUUACAAUAUUAUUUAUAAAUCUCGACUUGUGUUUGCCUAAUUGUCUUUGUUGUCUAUUGAUGUCUUUUAAAUUUUUCGGUGUCAACAGGUGAGUGACUGACCAAAGUCAAAAUGUGUGAAAAGAACAAUCAAAAUAUAAGUUAAGGCUUUUUAAAAUUCUGCAGAUCGCUUUAUUAUUAUUUAUACGGAUAAUUUUGUUACGAUUUGCUAAUUUAAUCUAUAAUCUAUAAUAUAUAUAAAAGCGAAAGGUCACUCACUCAUCACGAAAUCUCCGAAACUAUAACACCUACAAACUUGAAAUUUGGCAGGUAGGCUUAUUAAAGGACGUAGACAUCCGCUAAGAACUGAUUUUACGAAACUCGACCCCUAAGGGGAUAAAACGGGGGUUGGAAGUUUGUAUGAAAGUCCUAUGUUUUUGAAGUAAGAGACUUGAAAUUUAAAAU